AAUAAACGACUCUCGGCAACGGAUAUCUCGGCUCUCGCAUCGAUGAAGAACGUAGCGAAAUGCGAUACUUGGUGUGAAUUGCAGAAUCCCGUGAACCAUCGAGUUUUUGAACGCAAGUUGCGCCCGAAGCCUUCGGGUGAGGGCACGUCUGCCUG
rnacentral:rRNA from 1 species